rnacentral:rRNA from 1 species
GAUGAACGCUGGCGGCGUGCCUAAUACAUGCAAGUCGAGCGAACAGAUGAGGAGCUUGCUCCUCUGACGUUAGCGGCGGACGGGUGAGUAACACGUGGAUAACCUACCUAUAAGACUGGGAUAACUUCGGGAAACCGGAGCUAAUACCGGAUAAUAUAUUUAACCGCAUGGUUCAAUAGUUAAAGACGGUUUUGCUGUCACUUAUAGAUGUAUCCGCGCCGCAUUAGCUAGUUGGUAAGGUAACGGCUUACCAAGGCAACGAUGCGUAGCCGACCUGAGAGGGUGAUCGGCCACACUGGAACUGAGACACGGUACAGACGCCUACGGGAGGCAGCAGUAGGGAAUAUUCCGCAAUGGGCGAAAGCAUGACGGAGCAACGCCGCGUGAGUGAUGAAGGUCUUCGGAUCGUAAAACUCUGUUAUUAGGGAAGAACAAAUGUGUAAGUAACUAUGCACGUAUUGACGGUAACUAAUCAGAAAGCAACGGCUAACUACGUG